rnacentral:rRNA from 1 species
AGGUGAACCUGCGGAAGGAUCAUAGUUAAGGAGAGGCGCGUCCGUCCCGGCGGCCGCCUCGUUCCCACUCUGGAUGCAAUGCGCCCCUCGGGGAGCUAGUCUUGGCUCCGGCCUCGACAAAACCUUUUGUAAUCCAACUCACGCCUGUACGCGAAAAACCGAGAGAUUAAUACAACCAGUAGCGUUGGAUCCCUUGGCACGUCGUUCGAUGAAGACCGUUGCAAAAUGCGAUAAGUGGUGUGAUAUGCAAGUCCAAAACUUAUACGUGAACCAUCGAAUUGUUGAACGCACUGCAUCGAUCCUUACCCAGGAACGAUACGCCCCAUUGAGCGUCAUUAUGUCUUCGCGACUCGUUGCCUUUGCGGGCGACCUGUCCGGGUUCGGGAUCCACGGCCCCCAGCGGCCGCGUUUCCUCAGAUGCAUUGGACGCGCCGAUCGAGAGCGACGACCUUGUCAUGAAUGUCGAGGCCCGCCGUCUCCCGUCGCGUGCAAGAUCCUCGGCCCUGCCCUUGGAUCGACCCGGCGCUUGAUGCCUCUCCAACACAUGACCUCACGGGGGUGGGACGACCCGCUAGACUUAAGCAUAUUAAUCAG